rnacentral:rRNA from 1 species
UUCCGGUUGAUCCUGCCGGAGGUCAUUGCUAUCGGAGUCCGAUUUAGCCAUGCUAGUCGUGCGAGUUUAGACUCGCGGCACCGAGCUCAGUAACACGUGGCCAAACUACCCUACAGAUACGGAUACCCUCGGGAAACUGAGGUUAACCCGUCAUACCGAUCUCAGGCUUGAAUCGCAGAGAUCACUAAACGCCCCGGCGCUGUAGGAUGUGGCUGCGGUUGAUUAGGUAGACGGUGGGGUAACGGCCCACCGUGCCCAUAAUCAGUACAGGUUGUGAGAGCAAGAACCUGGAGACGGAAUCUGAGACAAGAUUCCGGGCCCUACGGGGCGCAGCUGGCGCGAAACCUUUACACUGCACGCACGUGCGAUAA